rnacentral:misc_RNA from 1 species
GGGAUCAUUACCGAGUUUACAACUCCCAAACCCCUGUGAACAUACCACUUGUUGCCUCGGCGGAUCAGCCCGCUCCCGGUAAAACGGGACGGCCCGCCAGAGGACCCCUAAACUCUGUUUCUAUAUGUAACUUCUGAGUAAAACCAUAAAUAAAUCAAAACUUUCAACAACGGAUCUCUUGGUUCUGGCAUCGAUGAAGAACGCAGCAAAAUGCGAUAAGUAAUGUGAAUUGCAGAAUUCAGUGAAUCAUCGAAUCUUUGAACGCACAUUGCGCCCGCCAGUAUUCUGGCGGGCAUGCCUGUUCGAGCGUCAUUUCAACCCUCAAGCACAGCUUGGUGUUGGGACUCGCGUUAAUUCGCGUUCCCCAAAUUGAUUGGCGGUCACGUCGAGCUUCCAUAGCGUAGUAGUAAAACCCUCGUUACUGGUAAUCGUCGCGGCCACGCCGUUAAACCCCAACUUCUGAAUGUUGACCUCGGAUCAGGUAGGAAUACCCGCUGAACUUA